GACGAACGCUGGCGGCGUGCCUAAUACAUGCAAGUCGAACGCUGAAGGAGGAGCUUGCUUCUCCGGAUGAGUUGCGAACGGGUGAGUAACGCGUAGGUAACCUUCCUGGUAGCGGGGGAUAACUAUUGGAAACGAUAGCUAAUACCGCAUAAGAGUAGAUGUUUCAUGACAUUUGCUUAAAAGGUGCAAUUGCAUCACUACCAGAUGGACCUGCGUUGUAUUAGCUAGAUGGUGAGUUAACGGCUCACCAAGGCGACGAUACAUAGCCGACCUGAGAGGGUAAGAGGCCAAGCUGGGACUGAGACACGGUCCAGAACACUACGGGAGGGAGACGGAGGGGACUAUUGGGAAAGGAAGGAAGUGGGAAUAAGGAACGACGGGUGAGUGAAGGAGGUUGUAAUAUCGUAAAGGUGAGGAGUAAGAGAAGGAUGAGUGGGAGAGUGGAAAGGGAAGAUUGUGACGGUACCGGAAGAAUAAGGUACGGCUAACUCCGUG
rnacentral:rRNA from 1 species